rnacentral:rRNA from 1 species
UACGUAGGGUGCAAGCGUUGUCCGGAAUUACUGGGCGUAAAGCGCGUGUAGGCGGCCCUGCAAGUCGGAUGUGAAAUCCCACGGCUCAACCGUGGAAGUGCAUUCGAAACUGCAGGGCUAGAGUCCUGGAGAGGAAGGUGGAAUGCUUGGUGUAGAGGUGAAAUUCGUAGAUAUCAAGCGGAACACCGGUGGCGAAGGCGACAUCCUGGACCGGUAU